GCCCCAGUAGUCGAGUUGGCUAAGAUACUCUUCUCGGAAAGUUGAGAGGUCCUAGGUUCGAAUCCUGGCUGAGAUA
rfam:Trachymyrmex zeteki contig10549, whole genome shotgun sequence.